GAUGAACGCUGGCGGCGCGCCUAACACAUGCAAGUCGAACGGCACCCCUCUCCGGAGGGAAGCGAGUGGCGAACGGCUGAGUAACACGUGGAGAACCUGCCCCCUCCCCCGGGAUAGCCGCCCGAAAGGACGGGUAAUACCGGAUACCCCGGGGUGCCGCAUGGCACCCCGGCUAAAGCCCCGACGGGAGGGGAUGGCUCCGCGGCCCAUCAGGUAGACGGCGGGGUGACGGCCCACCGUGCCGACAACGGGUAGCCGGGUUGAGAGACCGACCGGCCAGAUUGGGACUGAGACACGGCCCAGACUCCUACGGGAGGCAGCAGUGGGGAAUCUUGCGCAAUGGGGGGAACCCUGACGCAGCGACGCCGCGUGCGGGACGGAGGCCUUCGGGUCGUAAACCGCUUUCAGCAGGGAAGAGUCAAGACUGUACCUGCAGAAGAA
rnacentral:rRNA from 1 species